rnacentral:misc_RNA from 1 species
CUAAAAAUUAGGGUUUAACCGUUGAAGCUGUGUUUCUCAGGGAUCUGUCCUCCUCUAUACUCUAGAGAGGGAAAAUGGCCUCUUUUUGUAGAUCAGCUAUAAUGGCAGGCUCAAGGUCCAUGGCGGCUCGAUCCAGAACCCUAUCCCAGAAAUCCCUAAACGCAAAGUCCGUUUCCUCUCCUUUGUCUUCGCCAUCAAGACGACACAUUCCCAGUGCUUCAAGGGUUGUAUCAGUUUUCGGAAGCCUGGAGUCAUUAAUGCCACUUCACAGUGCCAUUGCCAAUGCUCGGCUCAAAUCCAACAUUGCUGUUGAUUCCUCUUGCUGGAGCU